rnacentral:lncRNA from 10 species
CAGAUGGCACCCUCAGAUUGAGUAAAUUGAGAAGAGUUUAAUAAAGAGACUAUUUACAAAGGAAUAUCAGGGUAUAGGGAAACCACAGGCCAGAAGGAGCAGAAGGAGAGAGCAAUCACUGGAAACUGGAGAGAGAAAAUCCUGUGAAGAGGGCCUCUUGACAGGAGCUGUGGCUUUUGGUCCAGGGACACAGCCAGCCAGCUCUCAAGAAGAUUCUGAAUUCCAUUAGGACAACUGAUGCCAACCAGUUUGAAGACCCCCACAGAGGAACCGAAUCAGCAUGAGAAUACAGCUGUUUCUUCUCCCUGUCCCAUGACUUCACCCUGCACUCUUCAACCCAUCAACAAUUCAACACUUCGGCCUCCUCCAACACCCUUGAAAUCCCUAGCCCCAAACUCCUCAAAGAUAUGAAUUUGAGGUUCCUUUCCAUCUCCUCAUUUGGUGACCCUGC